UACGUAGGGCGCAAGCGUUAUCCGGAAUUAUUGGGCGUAAAGGGCGCGCAGGCGGCUGCUCAAGUCAGGCGUGAAAGGCCUGGGCUCAACCCGGGAAUUGCGCUUGAGACUGGGCUGGCUUGAGUGCGGGAGAGGAUGGUGGAAUUCCCAGUGUAGAGGUGAAAUUCGUAGAUAUUGGGAAGAACACCGGUGGCGAAGGCGGCCAUCUGGACCGCAACUGACGCUGAGGCGCGAAAGCGUGGGGAGCGAACAGG
rnacentral:rRNA from 1 species